rnacentral:rRNA from 1 species
GACGAACGCUGGCGGCGUGCCUAAUACAUGCAAGUUGAGCGAUGAAGAUUGGUGCUUGCACCAAUUUGAAGAGCAGCGAACGGGUGAGUAACGCGUGGGGAAUCUGCCUUUGAGCGGGGGACAACAUUUGGAAACGAAUGCUAAUACCGCAUAACAACUUUAAACAUAAGUUUUAAGUUUGAAAGAUGCAAUUGCAUCACUCAAAGAUGAUCCCGCGUUGUAUUAGCUAGUUGGUGAGGUAAAGGCUCACCAAGGCGAUGAUACAUAGCCGACCUGAGAGGGUGAUCGGCCACAGUGGGACUGAGACACGGCCCAAACUCCUACGGGAGGCAGCAGUAGGGAAUCUUCGGCAAUGGACGAAAGUCUGACCGAGCAACGCCGCGUGAGUGAAGAAGGUUUUCGGAUCGUAAAACUCUGUUGGUAGAGAAGAACGUUGGUGAGAGUGGAAAGCUCAUCAAGUGACGGUAACUACCCAGAAAGGGACGGCUAGCUACGUG